GUGACGGGCGCCUGGCGGCCAGUGGCAGUUAGCUCUCCGUCUCCAUCUCCGCGUCCUCCUCACCUCAGGUGGAGGGUUUGUGUCAAGACGAUGUAAACAUGGGCCACAGACAGCGGAACUUUCUGGAGUUGGCUCUUCACUCAGCACCAUCCCCUGAGGGUCAGCCAGGCUGCUGCUGUGUCAGCACCCAGUUGCUUUUUACCGCUGAGCAGUCGUCCGUGGUGUGUGGAUGAGUCAUCGUCGUUUAACUGUUCACCCGGCAAGCACGCUGGAGUCGUGUCCUGCUUUUCCUGUGAACAUUUGUACAGGUGGAGCGUGUCGUCUCAAAAUCCAAAAUCCACAGUGCCCCCAGACUCAGAACUUUUUAAACACCAACAUGACGCUCAAGGGAAACACUCAUUGUAGCAGUUUGGAUUUUGGAUUUUGGAUGGUCAGUCAAAACCUAUAAUGCAAAUAUUCCAAAACCGAAAGUACUUCUGGUCCCAUGUGUUUUUGGUAAGGGAAGUUUUCAUUUCUCUGGGAUGUGUGCCCGCGGUUAGAUUGCUGAGUUACGUGGUGUGUGUCCCGUCUUUAUGAGAAACUGUCACACUGUUUUCUGGAACCUCGGUAGCAUUUCCCACUCACAGCAGCAGUGCACGGGAGCUCCCGUUGGGGGUGUCAGUGUUUCGUGUGCGUCAUUCUGAUCGGGUGUAAUGAUCUCGUGAUGACCUAGACUUGCAUGUGCUUGUUGAAUGAUGAUGUGGAACAUCUUUCGUGUGUUUAUUCCUCGUCUGCAUAUCCCGUUCAGUAGAAUGGCUGUUUGUGUAUUCUGCCCAUUUUCUGGUGGGAUUCUUUGGUUUUUACUGUUGAUUUUGAGAGUUCCUUUGAUAUUUUGAUACUAGUUGCUAGUUGGGUUUGUGGCUUGUACAUAUUUUCUCCCAAUCCAUAGCUUAUUUUUCAUUCUCUUAGGAGGAUCUUGAGCAAAGCAAAAGCUCUUAAUUUUCAUGAGGUUCUAUUUACCAAUUUUUUCGUUUAGGAAUUGUACUUUGGUGUGGAAGCUAUUAAUCGUCAAUCUAGUCCUAGAUCCCAAAAAUUUUCUCAGAAGCUUUAUUCUGAAAACUCAUUAUUCUGAAACUCUUAAGAGUUUCAUGGUUUUACAUUUAAUCCUUGGUGAUCCAUGUUCAGUUAAUCUCUGUGCAGGGCGUGCGGCUUGGGCUGAGGCCCAUCUCUGGCUCCAGCCCUUCUGUGGGAACGUGCCGGGUUCCCAUCCUUGACCUCCCGCAACGCUGCCAGAAAGCAGCUGGGGCUGUGCGUGUUUCUGGGCUGUUCCUCCGUUCUGUGGACAUUUUUGCCCUUUUCUUACUCUUGCAGUGAAAGCGUGUCUUCCGUCUCUGAGGAUGACGUCAGCUGUAGGUCAUUUGUAAUGGUCUUUAUCAAGUUGAGGAAGGCCCCCUCUAUUCCUGUUCUCUGUGUGUUGAUUGAUAAGAUCAUGUGAUUUUUCUUCUUUACCCUGUUAACACAUGGUGGAUGACAUUGGUUUUUGACCAUUGAAACAACCUUGCAACCCUUAAAUAAAGCUUGUGCGUUUGUGGUGUGCGAUGAUUUUCAUACAUUUUUGUUAUGUAUUUUUCUUCGUGUUGUUGUUGACAGUGGGUCUCUGUUUCUGUGUUUUGUUCUGUCUUCGUCCAGCCCCUCCCCGGGUGGGGUGGUUUGUGGUUUUCCCUUGUCCUCACCGUCUGUAUGGGGGCCUCCUUCAUUCCUGAUGUCCGUGACUUGUUUCUUCUGUUUUUGCGGGGCAAAAGUAGUUGAGGCAGGCCCGAGAGGAGAUUAGCUACCUCCCCACGGAGCCAGGUCCCUAAGAUAGGAGUCGCCACAGAGGAUAAGGAAAUUGAUAGGCAACAGAGAGAAAUAAAAGAAUACACAGAGA